rnacentral:rRNA from 1 species
AGGAUAAACGCUGGCGGCGUGCCUAACACAUGCAAGUCGAACGUCUCUUCUUUCGGGAAGAGGAGUGGCGGACGGGUGAGGAACACGUGGGAACCUGCCCUUUAGUGAGGAAUACCGGCGAGAAAUCGCCGACAAGACCGCAUAGCCCUCUUUGAUGAGAGUCAAAGAAGGAAAGCUUCGCAAGAGGCGCUAGAGGAGGGGCCUGCGUCCGAUUAGCUAGUUGGUGGGGUAAGAGCCUACCAAGGCGUCGAUCGGUAGCUGGUCUGAGAGGACGACCAGCCACACUGGGAUUGAGAACGGCCCAGACUCCUACGGGGGCAGCAGUGAGGAAUUUUCGGCAAUGGGGGAAACCCUGACCGAGCAACGCCGCGUGCAGGAAGACGGCCUUCGGGUUGUAAACUGCUUUUCUUUGGGACGAGGAAGGACGGUACCAGAGGAAUCAGCCCCGGCUCACUACGUGCCAGCAGCCGC